CUUGAUCAUGAACACAGGCCAGUGUGUGUGAAAUAAUGAAUGGAAGUGCUAAUUAAGAAAUCACUUGGGCCAAAGGCCCAAGUCUCCAAAACCAAGACCCGGUGCCAGGUAUGUGACCCGUGAGCGUCCAAGAUUCUAGGUUGACGAUGCAUCCAUGAACUCCUCGGUUUGAAAUCUUCACCAAUCGUAUUCGACCGUGCGAACAUCAAGAAUUCGCUUCCAUGGUUCCAUGGAAGAACCACGAACAUCGAUCAAACUCUGUCCAGCUCCUGCCAUGAAUCACGAAUUUCGUACGCUUAUUCCAAUGCUUGCAACACGUAGGAGAACGGAUAAAUGGUCGCGUUUCAACUUGCGUUUCUUCGUCAAUCUCGCUGUGUUCCACUUCGUGUUUCGUCAAUUCAAAGUUUGACUUGGACAAUUCCGACUCUAACCGAUGUGAAUUUAAAACGCAAGGAGGAGUGAGCACUCACCCUUUCGACGUGGCGGAGAAAAGAUGGAUCAAGCUUAUGAAAUUUCAUGGCCAUUGCAGGUUGCUUGUAAGAUCAUGCUUAUGAAAUUGCAUUACCGUUGGAUUUAGGCGAAGAAGCAGUGUUGGAAUGCAGGUUGAGUUGGCGGUUUGGUUGCUCUGCAGAAUUGGUUUUGUCGGUUUUGUUGUUAAAAAAAUCCAUUCUAUUGGAGACUUUUCGAAGAAUGUCAUGAGAAGUUCUGUUAUAUACUGUUAUGACAGUUAGUUUGUGAGCUGUUAGACUCGCCGCAUUGCAGUAUUCGUAUAUGCUAACCCUUUUUGGAUUGUUGGGUUGUGACUUGCAGGAUCAUGACAGGUUGGAAGUUGUGUUGUUGUUUCUGUUCGCCAUUGCGUGGUCACGACGAAUUGUGCCGAUGGUUUGUGGUUAUUCCAGGCUCAUUAGUUAGAAGGUGGUGAGGCGAACGGUUAAUCAAGUAGUAAUUGCAUCAACAUCUGAACUGACUGGUAGGUUAGGGACAUGUUAAUAACAGCAGCAGUUGUACUGCUCUUGUUAGCCUGAACUUGUUAAUGGUGGCGGGAAUCACAAUUGUGUUAAUUUGUUAUAGACGGAGAAGUUUAUUUUAGGAAUGUGAAGUGUAUUAGUUGUGAUUGUAAUCUGCAAACUGAAUUUUACUUUGUCAUGAGUUCUUGAACGGAACCGAGGUACAUUCGUAUGGCAGGUUGGAUUUAUUAUUAAGAAACGUUAUUUAACGUA